CUAAGAAGAAAUAGAUCAAUUGUUGUGGAUUUGUUCCAUGGGCAGCUAAGAUCUCAAGUCAAAUGCAAGACAUGUGGGCAUAUAAGUGUCCGAUUUGACCCUUUCAAUUUUUUGUCUUUGCCACUACCAAUGGACAGUUAUAUGCACUUAGAAAUAACAGUGAUUAAGUUAGAUGGUACUACCCCUGUACGGUAUGGACUAAGACUGAAUAUGGAUGAAAAGUACACAGGUUUAAAAAAACAGCUGAGUGAUCUCUGUGGACUUAAUUCAGAACAAAUCCUUCUAGCAGAAGUACAUGAUUCCAACAUAAAGGUAAUGUUAACUACUCUAAGAAACUUUUGAUUCUAUCCUUCAAAGAUGACAUUUUUCUCGAUUAUUAUGAUCAGUUGUUAGGUUAUGUGACCAAGAGAGAUACUAAAACAUAGUGAAAACUGAACAACAACAACAACAAAAAAUGCCAAGUUUUCCAACCCAGAAACUUAAGCAUUUUCUACUAGAAUAAAAGGAUAAUACUGAUGGUGGUAUUUUUGAAGAAGGGAAAUAUGUAAGGCUGCCUGUAUGGAGUGUUCUAGCUGUGUCACUAUAGUAUAGGUUUCCUCCAAAGACUGCUGCUAUUACACUUCACA
rnacentral:sRNA from 1 species